rnacentral:rRNA from 1 species
GACAUCCAGAGAACUUAGCAGAGAUGCUUUGGUGCCUUCGGGAACUCUGAGACAGGUGCUGCAUGGCUGUCGUCAGCUCGUGUUGUGAAAUGUUGGGUUAAGUCCCGNAACGAGCGCAACCCUUAUCCUUUGUUGCCAGCGGUUCGGCCGGGAACUCAAAGGAGACUGCCGGUGAUAAACCGGAGGAAGGUGGGGAUGACGUCAAGUCAUCAUGGCCCUUACGGCCAGGGCUACACACGUGCUACAAUGGCGCAUACAAAGAGAAGCGACCUCGCGAGAGCAAGCGGACCUCAUAAAGUGCGUCGUAGUCCGGAUUGGAGUCUGCAACUCGACUCCAUGAAGUCGGAAUCGCUAGUAAUCGUAGAUCAGAAUGCUACGGUGAAUACGUUCCCGGGCCUUGUACACACCGCCCGUCACACCAUGGGAGUGGGUUGCAAAAGAAGUAGGUAGCUUAACCUUCGGGAGGGCGCUUACCACUUUGUUGAUUCAUGACUGGGGUGAAGUCGUAACAAGGUAGGCGUAGCGAG